AUGAGUAUUGUGUGUGAUUUCUCUUCCCAUCUCAAUCAAUCUUCUGUAAUUCCCCUCCCCCAAUUCUGAGUUGUACUUGUUUAAAACUUACAAUCAAAAUCCAACCAUUAGCCUAUUAUUAUUGUUCAUUGCACAAUUUCUGUUUGCUUGAUCUUGUCUUGUCUUAAUCAUCAACGUUACAGAGUGAGGCAGAGAAUCGGUAGCUGGAGGCUGAGGUCCACGCCAUUUCGUGAAGAACAGAUCCAUUGGUUCUUCCCCGGGGUCUGGUAAACAGAUAUGUAUCAGAUUGUUCAAAUUCAUCAUGUUUAUUGUUUUGUCUAUGCGUUUGAUAACGACUCCAUUGAUUUAUUAUUUGUAACCAUUUGAUUCGGUGAUUGUUCUGUCUCUGAUUUGAGAUCCGACAUCACUGCACUUGGAUUUCUGUUUUCUAGAUCGGAUUGGGUGUGGUAGAAAUACGUUGGAUGGAUAUCCAGACGAUUUGUUUUACACACACAAUGGUGUUUUGUCGUAUUCUAAGCUAGGGAUCCGAUGUGUCAUCUGGAAUAGUUGUGGAAGCAUUAGACAACAACUCGAAUUGUUCUUCUUAAGAUCCAUGUGCCAAAGCCCAAUUAAGGUUACAUAAUGGGUGCCUCUAGCUAUCUGUGUGAAGAUGGUUAAGAAGCGGUUUAUGAAAUUCUACAACAAGUCAACAACCAUUCUAUAUCAUUAAGAGGCAGCAACAGGUUGGUUGAGGUAGAUGCAAUGUUUGCAAAACGACCAUCUGACCCAUUCAAAUUUUAGAGCUUUUGUGCUCAUUUUUUGUGAAGUUGAAUAUGAUUGAUUCCUUGUACGUAUUUGUAUCAUAGUAUACAUGAAAUUAUUAACUGUGAACACUAGCUAGCAAUAAAUGAUUCAUUUCACAAAGC
rnacentral:lncRNA from 1 species